GACGAACGCUGGCGGCGUGCUUAACACAUGCAAGUCGAACGGACAGGCCCUGCUUUUGUUGGGUGCUCGAGUGGCGAACGGGUGAGUAACACGUGAGUAACCUGCCCUUGACUUUGGGAUAACUUCAGGAAACUGGGGCUAAUACCGGAUAGGAGCUCCUGCUGCAUGGUGUGGGUUGGAAAGUUUCGGCGGUUGGGGAUGGACUCGCGGCUUAUCAGCUUGUUGGUGGGGUAGUGGCUUACCAAGGCUUUGACGGGUAGCCGGCCUGAGAGGGUGACCGGCCACAUUGGGACUGAGAGACGGCCCAGAAGCGUACGGGAGGCAGCAGUGGGGAAUAUUGCACAAUGGGCGGAAGCCUGAUGCAGCAACGCCGCGUGCGGGAUGACGGCCUUCGGGUUGUAAACCGCUUUCGCCUGUGACGAAGCGUGAGUGACGGUAAUGGGUAAAGAAGCAACGGCUAACUACGUG
rnacentral:rRNA from 1 species